UUGGCAUUUGCCGAUCUGCCACGACGCUCCAAACUUCUCAUUCACCGGCUUUCCAAAAAGCAAUGUUAUUUUUGAAGAAAGAAGCAAUAUUUUGAAAAUAUUGUAUUUUUCAUCGAUCUUCCUUUUUUUUUUGCUCAAGCUAGAUAAGAACUCUGGGUAUGACAUUUAAAAGCAUUUUGAGUUACACGGCACUAUCGAGAAUUACGAGAAUGGCAAAAGAAAUAUUUUUGUUUUCGUCGUGAAAUCGAAUUACCGUGCGCAUACCCAGUUUUUUGGACGACUUCUGUCAACUGUAAUGAUAAGUUCUGCUGUUUCCAGUCUGAGUUUGGAUACCAAUGGACAGAGGGAAAAUCAGACAGUACUGAUCAAUGAUCCACAGCAACCAUCGCACUAACAUAGAAAUUUUGUGACAACCGAAUGUACAAUAUGUUGCAGAGAAAAGUGUCAAUUUUCCCUAUGCUUUGUUUGACUUUAAGUGCUCCAGCUGUCCAUCAGGUCAAUGAAAUUCCCAUUCGAACAUCACUGAUACCUCAAAAAGUACGUAUGUAGAUAAAACUCUUUGGCAAGAAACUUUGCUAAUACGAACGGAGUCAGCGAAUAUAAUCUUUGCAGAAACAGCAUUCAGCUAUUCAUUAGUUGAAAUACCAUCAUAGCUGUUGAACCUUGAUCGUAAAUGUUGUGAUUUUCUUUAUGCUGUGCCCAUUGGCUUUCAUUACAGUCUACUAUAACAGUAAUCUUACUUGUGACAAACGUUUAUAUUCCUGUAGCCAAUGUAACAGACAUCUAAAAGUGGGAUUUUUCAACUACAGAAAGGAAAACCAACGACAAACAUCAAUCGUUGUAGCCAAUGGGGUAGCAAGAAUGAAGGAUGGAGAAUUUGACAAAA